AGUGCAAUAUUGCUGCAGUCAUAUGUCUACCUUUGUUGUUCUUAAUAGGAAAAUAAAAAAGGACAUAUGAUCGUAGUAGAAUCGCGCGCGUAUGAAAAUGUUGCUCGUGUACAUUUAGCCUAAAGCUGUGCGAACAAAAAUAUAUUUUUAUAUUGCUAUAACAAUAUAAUCCGGUGUGUACUUGGUUUCGAUAAUGUUGACUCAAAUCAGUUAAAAAAUUUAAUUGUUAAUUUAUUAUAACAAUGCCUGUACGUCCAAGUUUUAAAAAAUGGAUUAUAGGAUUUGGCGCAUUAGGUGGUGCGAUGUUCUUUUAUCCACAUGAUAAUGAUAAUAAUAAAUUAUUGCACAUGGACAAAUCUAGGAUAUCUUCUUCAUCUUGGGAUUAUAACUGGGAUAGGAGAGAUCCAAAAAGUUUAGUGAAACCAAUGAAAAUAGACAAUGAAUCUAAUCAAAAUACAUAUCAUAAACAAUUAAUAAAUAAAACAGCGAAAGCUACACGUCACAUAAUUUUAAUUCGUCAUGGACAAUAUAAUGUGGAAGCUAAGACAGAUGCAGAUGGGACACUUACAGAUCUUGGUAGGCAACAAGCUGAGGCAACAGGAAAACGACUGCAUGCUUUGGGUUUUCCAUAUACUUUGCUUGUACAUUCAUCAAUGACAAGGGCUCAAGAAACUGCUAAAAUCAUAGAAAAAUCUUUUAAAAAUAUAACGGUAAAGUGUGAUUCAAUUCUUAAUGAGGGUUCACCAAUUCAACCUGAACCUCCAUCAUCUAGCUGGAAACCUGAAGUAAAUUAUUAUAGAGAUGGGCCUAGAAUAGAAGCUGCAUUUAGAAAGUAUUUUCAUCGUGCAGAUUUCAGUCAGAAAAAUGAUUCAUAUACAAUUCUUGUUUGUCAUGCAAAUGUUAUUAGAUAUUUUGUAUGCAGAGCAUUGCAAUUUCCACCCAAAAGUUGGUUGCGAUUAAGCUUGAAUCAUGCUAGUAUUACAUGGAUUACUAUUUACCCUGAUGGUAUUGUAAAAUUAUGGGUGUUUGGUGAAUCAGGGCAUAUGAAACCACAACUUAUUUCAUAACUAAAUUGACCAUAGCAUAUUACUUUAUUUAAUAAAAUACACUUACGUUAUCUACAUUUGAUAUCAUUUUAAUAUAUAAAUUUUACAAGAACGUAUUUUUAACUAUUUAUUUUAUCUAUGAAAACUUAUAAUUUGUUAAUAAAAAACUAAGAAAUACUUUUUAAAUUAUUAACAAUCAAGGACAGCACAUUUAAAGACUGAUGAAAAAUACAUAUUCUUAUAUUUGCAAUAAGUCUUAUUAUUGUAAACCUCCACCUAAACAAAAUUUAUGUCUCUGGUAAGAUACUCUUUUUGAAACAAAGUAUAUAAAUCCUAUUUGCAAAUAAAUAUGCAAAGUGUAUAAAUAUUUAUAUAUACCACGUACAAACUAUAUAUUACUACGUAUAAUAAUAAUUACUAUGUAUUACACCUAUUACUCUAAAAAUAUUUUGAAAAAAUAUGUACUUAAUCUGAUUGUAAAAUCACAAAUAUCUAAUAUACAUAUACAGGGUGGUUGGUAACUGGUGGUACAAGCGGAAAGGGGGUGAUUCUAAGCGAAAAAAGAAGUCGAAAAUAUAGAAUAAAAAUUUUUUGUUUGAGGCUUUGUUGUUGAGAAAAUCGACUUUGAAUUUUCGCUCGGUACGCGUGCACUUUAUCACAUCUCGUUAUAAAAGAUCUCAUUGUAGAUCGUUGUCUUGAUUAACGUUAUGUUGAUAAACACUUCCAAUGUGACCGAAGUGUUUUCCUCCAAUUUUACCUUUUUGAUCUCAUAACUGAUAUUGAAAUAGCAUUUAACGUAUCUCGCCUCUUAUUAAACCAUUUUACUCUUUUUAUAACUAUUAUAAAAGAAGACGACAUUCAGAAUGGCUAGCAAAUGUAGCUAAAUUAGAAAAUGAAAAUGAUAAAAACUCACG